GCUGCUAGCAGAAUACUGACUUCCAGGCAGCUAGGAUGAGGGUCUUAAAGCCCACAUCCACAGUGACAUGCCAGCUCCAACAGGGCUAUACCUCCAGCAUAGUCAAACCAUAACAGAGGGCCUUCAGCACCAGACAAGAGAGUUUGGCGCGUGGGCAUCUUGAGGUAUCCAGUGAUGGAGGCUUUUGAAGGAGAGUCCAGAAAGGUCCCCAGCCUCCUGGCUUCCCAGCCAAGAGAAAGGGCUGGGUACACUGACAACUGAAACAUGUAGCUUGUUUUUCAUAUUAGACAAUGAGCCACAGGCAAAACAAAAACAAAGCAAACAAGUAUUGACCCAGGGACAGUGAGGCAGUCAAGGACAGAUUCUACCCAGCCACCAUCUUGACUCCUGCCAGGAGCCUAGAGCAGGUCUCGAUGGUUGGCGUCGGUGGUUUGCAGGGACAAAACUUGGUUUUGUGGGGGCAAAAGUUAUACCUUUGGUAAUUACCUCUCUAAACUCUUCUCUAGUCUAAACCCAAAUACUGUUGGCUUCUGGUAAUAAACUCUUGCUAGUGGCAACAGGGAAUUGAGAGGGAAAAAGAUUUAAUUGCUAGUGUUCUUCUCUCUCACAGUCCCUCACUGCCAAGGUGAGAGUCUCGGAGCUCAUUAACUCUUCUUGAACCAGAGAGAAAAGAAGGGAAAAGAAUUAAAGUCAUUUACAUAGAUAAUAUGCACAGACACACUCACACUCACACACACACACACACACACACACACACUGGUUGGGCCUGACCACCUGUCUCAUCAACUCCUCAAGUGUUCAUGCAUACUUACAUGCAUAUACAUAUACUUAUGCAUGCAUGUAUAUACAUUCAUGUAGACAGACAAAUAUAUAUAUAGAUAGAGAGAUAGAUAGAUAGAUAGAUAGAUAGAUGUGGCUGAUUCCCCCAAGCCACCACUUUAUUUCUUCUCUCUGACCUUUUUAUACCUUCUUAGAUGAAAGUUCUCUAGAAAGUUACCUCAUAGAUAAAACGUUAUACAAAAGGGGAGUUACAGUAUGCUUAUUAUAGUAAGUUCAAAGCAGUGUUUCAUUCUAUAAGCUCAUUAUAAGUUCAAAGCAACAGUUUCACAGGGCCUGGCUUUAUCAUAGUGCACACCCGUGACCUCAUCCUUGAACCCGACCUAGAAUGAAUGUCUUCCUUGAUCACAAAUUUGUCCCAAGCCCGUUUCUGUCUAUAGUGUAAUAUGAAAGCUCAUUGUAUUUUCUAUAAUGCAGCCUUUACUUACUCUUCCAUGAGCAGUGGACACAUUCUAUCCUUGAUUCUAAAUUCAUUAUAUCUUUCUGGCAAAUCAACUAAAACUGUCUCUUAAAAAGAUUUCUUCCUAAAGUUAUUUGAAUCAGGAAUUCUACAAAAUGGUUAAUUCAUCUAAACAGCAUUAAUCCAUGAACGUUCAUCUUCAUGUUGAUCUGCAGGAAGUCUGCCCAGUAGGGUGGGCCAAUGCUCAGGAAUCACUAAACUGUGUGAUAGGCAUAGGAGAAGGCAUAUCAGCUGCAAGAAGCAAUCCCGAGAUGAUGUCUCUUGGGACCUUGUCUCUCAGAGCUCACCCAUCAUAAGCCAUGCAAGAAUGGUGGGCCAUCUCCAGGAAGUCACCUUUUAGUUUUAGCCUCUCCUAGACAGCUCCUGACAGAUUUCAUAGUAUCGGGGACCCAAAGAAUAAGACUUAUUUUAUUUUGAGCCAUGUAUAUGGGGUGUGGGGAGUGUGUGUGAAUGUGAAUGCAAGUGUCUGCAGAGGCCAAAAGAGGACAUUGGAUCUCCCAUUGCUGGAGCUGUGGGCAGUUGUGAACUGCCUGACACGGGGGCUGGGAACCAAAUUGGAACCAAACUGGGAACCAAACUCGUCAAGAGCAGCAGCCACUCUUAACUGCUGUCCAGCCAUCCUAGCUCACAGAGGAACUGUGUGAUGAGUGACACUUUGAAGACAUUUGACUCUUGCUGCAGUCCCAGAAAACCAUGGAAGCCUCUCCUUGCUCAGAGAGUGUUGACAGUGGGAAAUACAAUGUCAGAAGUGGGACUCGGGGACUGGAGGGAUGGCUCAGAGGUUAGAGCUAGAGCUGCUGUCCCAGCAUGCACAUGGCAGCCCUCAGCUGUCUGUAACUCACAUAUCAGAGAUCUGGUGCCUUCGAGGGCACUGGGUAUGCUCGUACUGCGCAUGUGUGCAGGCAAAACACCCAUGCAUAUAAAAUAAAAUUAAUAAAUCUUUCUAAAAAGUUAGAAAAGGCAUGGGACAUUAUUUUUUGCCCCCCGGAAUUUCCGUUGGUAUUAAGAUGACAUGUUAGUGGUAGUGUAGUGUCUGUGGCUGUAAUCAGGGAAUGACCAGGUUUUUGGUUUUUUGUUUUGUUUUCUUUUGUUUUUAAAAACAAAAAACAAAACAUACUGGAGUUGCUGAAUUCCCAAAGCAAAGAGAUUUGAGGUGUAGUAGAUCCCAAGCUUUAUUAUGGGCUCAUUAAUACCUAUAUGAACCAGGUGUGAUAUCACAGGUGUAAUGGUACAUUACAGGUGUGAUGGAGCAGGUGUGAUGGUGCAGAUGUGAUCAUAUAUUACAGGUGUGAUGAUGCAGGUGUGAUGGUACAUUACAGGUGUGAUGAUGCAGGUGUGACGGUACAUUACAGGUGUGAUAGUGCAGGUGUGAUCAUAUAUUACAGGUGUGAUGAUGCAGGUGUGAUGAUACAUUACAGGUAUGAUGAUGCAGGUGUGAUGGUACAUUACAGGUGUGAUGAUACAGGUGUGAUAGUACAUUACAGGUGUGAUGAUACAGGUGUGAUAGUACAUUACAGGUGUGAUGGUGCAGGUGUGAUCAUAUAUUACAGGUGUGAUGAUGCAGGUGUGAUGGUACAUUAUAGGUGUGAUGGUACAUUACAGGUGUGAUGAUGCAGGUGUGAUAGUACAUUGCAGGUGUGAUGGUACAUUACAGGUGUGAUAGCACAGACCUGUAAUUUCAGCACUGGAGGCAGAGGUAUUACUGUGAGUUCAAGCCUAGUCUGGUCUACAUAGCAAGUUCCAAGAUAGGCAGCAUUACACAGAGACCCUGUCUCUCAAAAGGAAAGAGACGAAGGAAGGGAAGGGAAGGGGAAAGGGAAAAGGGGAAAGGAAGGGGAAGGGAAGGGGAAAUACCUAUAAGAAAGCUUUGCUAUGACACAGUCAGGGACACCAGGCCCAGAAGAAGUGACAUCUGAGAAGGGCGAGAUUAGGAAACACAAAGUGUCACCUUACAGGGUAAACUGUGGCUUGACAUUGAUUCUCCAAGCUGGAGCAGGACUGAGCUCUCCUCCAGGAGAGCCUGUGAUGGAGGUAGUGUCGCGGUGCCUAACUCCUCCAGGAGAGCCUGUGAUGGAAGUAGUGUCGCGGUGCCUAACUGCGACAGUCACUGGGAGGUUGUACGCCGCCUGUGCCUGCAACGGGAGUCACUCCCACACCACGUUAGGGAGGGACCUAGAGCUAGUCACUGGGACUGGAAGCUUGCCCCGAUGGAAGACCCUUUGUGGCCUUUCGGCCCAAGGCCUGAGAGAACAAGCCCCGUUCUUUCAUGGUUAGACCAUUUUCUUGUUUGCCUCAGACACCCUGUUAUAUAAUCUGGACACACCUGUUCAAUACUGAACUUUCUAGUGACUUAAGUCUUCGCGCCAAAAUGAAAUCCACCGGCAAAGGAUGCCAUGCAGCUAAGCAGGACGGGAAGUGUUGGCUACCUGCUCCCAGGAUAAACCCUCCCCACAGGAUGACUGUGUCAAAGCUGGGCUGUUUAAAAACCUACGGUCAUAGUGUUAUAUGGAUCUUGUAUGAGAAGGCAGUGGCCUUACAGCCUUUCUGUCUUGCUUGGAUCAAAGCUACACAAUGUAUAAAAUGAUGAAGACAUCAGUAUUUGCAUAUUGCUGAUCUGGUACUUUUUUGUUAUAUUUCCCAAGCACCCCCUGUCUUCCCCCCCACCAAAUACACACACUAUUUCAAAUAUCGGUGUUCCUCUCCCCUCCCAUCCCCAGCCAGAGCCUUCCCGUGUCUUCUCAUGGUUGAUGCUACAGUUGAGGUCCUUGACUAAUAGUUAUAAAGUUUCCAGGCUAGUAACGGAGAAGCAGUGUGUUUCUGUGUGCCUGUGUCUGUGUGUCAUCGUCCCUCUCCUUGUGAUCUGAUGGCCACUGCACAGCCUGAGUGAGGUUCAGCUCUUGGGCCUGCCUGCACUAAAACCCCAGGUACAACAUGGCUACUAGGCAUGUUGCUGCCAGCUGGGUUUGGCUGACAGCACGGUCAUUCUCCCCCAUGCAGCUGCUGGUGUCUCCUUCUCUAGCUAAGUGUUGCAUAUCCCUAUUGGUCAGUGGGCCGCUGUCAGCUCCCACCCCAUGCCUGACGUAAAGGGGAGAGAGCAUUCUCCAGCGGCAGCAGACUAUCACAGUUGUCACUUCUGAUGAGAAAGAACCCUGCAAACUUUGAAGAUUACACGUAGGCCAGGCCUGCCGUUAACCUGUCACUUUCAUUGAAAAUGAAUCCCAAGUCUCUCUUCUGCUUUCCUUUCUGGGACACUGCAGUGUGUCCUGAACUCACACGGCUAAAAAUAGAGCAGAAAGGGGAAUACAUUUGGAUUGAGCUCUGUGAAGCUCCACAGGCCUUGGAAUGCCUGCAUCCCUUGUCUGCAUGACUGCUUGUGACACUGUGUUCUUCAAAGGCAACACCAACCUCAUUGUCCAUAAAACAGAAGUGAGAAGCCAAAAUUAUAAAGGGGGGAGGGGGGCUGCGGUUGCAGGAAGAACAGUGGCUACUGAAGUUGACCAUUCUCUGUGCCAGGGGCAUUUGGAUGCAUCUUUCCUUUUCUGGCUUUGUGAGCACUGAAAGUUUAGGAGGCUGAGAUUUUCUUGCAACCCUACCGUCCAUAGGGAGCAGCUGACACUGCAGCCUUCUGUGUCCAGCAAGGAGAAGUCCUGGUCUGCUUGUCACCGAGGCAGACUCACAGUGGUCUCUGUUGGUGACACAUUACAGUCUUACACAGUGACCUGCCAAGCGAUUAAGGAACGGUGACCACCUGUGACCUGCCGGUCCCUCAGUCCCUUGAGGGGAUGGAAAACUCAAGGAACCCUAGAACAAGAUUCAGUUCAGCACUACUUCCCUAAGAAAGAGGUGUCAGCAGCUGACACAUUUAGUUGGGGUAUGCUCUGGGGUGAGAGGGAAGAGCCUGGAAGCCAAGGGAGGGACUCACCCCACUUGUGGAGGCGCAGCAGGGCCAGAGGACCGGCCUCUUCCACUGCACAGGGAUCUGCUGCGGAGCUCCCAGAUUUAGUUCUGAUAGUCCCUAAUCUGCCCAUCCUUUGUCCAUCUUUCUUAUUUGGGCUUCCUUGUGCGUUUGCUGUAUAGCACUUCUGUCAGGGUAAGUGUCCCGAGUCUUUCCUCUGUUUUAGUCAGCCGUUACACACUAUGAUAUGUGAUCUGUGAUGUUGUAAAAAGGCGUGCGUGUGCUGCAAGGAUGUGGAGGUCAGCUUCUGGGAGUCAGUGUUCACCAUCUGUGUUUGAGGCAGGGGCUCUUGCUUCUGCUGUUGACUGUGUACUCCAGGUUGGCUGGCCUGUAAGCUUCCGAGUGAUCUCCUCUCUGCCUCCCAUCCUCCUCAGGAGUUCCCAUCACCCGUGAGCGUCUCUGUGGGCUCCGGGGUUUGAAUGCAGGUCACCAGACUGUGUGGAAAAUGCUUUUACUGCCGAGUCACCUCCCGGCCUGGGCCACAGUGCUUACAUUUCACCCGGGCGCUCCGAUUUCUCUUAAGUUCUGCUGGAGCUCUUACAAAAGCCGGCUUGUUUUUAUUCAUUUAUUUUAAUAUAACUUCUUGCUUUUACUUCAUUUCUGAUUAUCAUAUAUUCAUAUACAUUUAUAUAGUUAUUGUGUAUUUAAAUAAUAUGAAAUCUUUUUUUAAAAAAAGAUUUAUUUAUUUUAAUUUUAUGUGUAUGGGUGUUUUACCUCUAUGUAUGUAUGUAUGUAUGCAUGCCAGCCAUAUGUAUUCAGUGCAGUGCCUGUGGAGGUCAGAAAAGGAUGUCUGAUCCCUUAGAACUGAAGUUACAGAUGGUUCUGUGCCCCCUUGUGGGUGCUAGGAACUGAACCCAAGAUCCUCUAUAAGAGCGGGCAGUGCUCUUAACUACUGAGCCAUUUCUCCAGCCCUGGUGUGAAAAGUCUGUGUUUAGAAGCGUCGCACACACACUUACUUACUUAUUUUGUAUGUGUGCACAUUAGCAUCCUUCUGUGGCACGUGUCUGGAGGUGCCAGGACAGCUUUUGGGAGUUAGGGUCCCAAAAGAAUGAACUCAGGUUAUAAGCCUUGGGGGCAAGCGCCUAUCCCUGCUGAGCCUUUGAUCCGGACACGUGUAUGUUCUGAAACAGUUUGUCUGUGUAUAUUAUGCAUGCAAUGCAUUUUGGGUAUCUUCCCGUCUAUCUCCUUUCACACCCCUCUCCCACUUCUGCUGAGCCGAGACUGGCUCCCCCGCCCCCCAUCAGGCCUUUUUGGUUUUGUGCACCUCCGUGGAGGUCAGAAGAGGAUGUCCAUCAGGGUUGUCUGUGUGAGAAUGGGUGGAGUUACUUACAUUACUAAAGAAAACGCCUCUCCCUUCCCAGAAGGCUCUAUUUUUAAUGGUUUCAGUUUUCAUUUCCUCACUUUGAAGAGUUUGGGAUUUACCUGAUGUAUGGUGUAAGAAAGAUUUAAUGGUAACUUUGUUUCACACAGUAAGCUGGUUAUCCCAGCACAGUUCCGGGAAGAAGAGCAUUCCUUCUAGACCCCGGUUUCUAUUUCAGUGGCCUGUGUUGUUGUAAACUUUCCCCUGCAGCAGUUUCUCAUACCCAGCGGCAUGUGUGGCCUUGCCUUUGGUUGGAUUUAUUUCCUUUACUAAGUAACUGUUUCCAUGGUAAACUCUGUGAAACAAAGGGUUUUCAGUAAGGUGUCUCCCAGCUCUGUCUACCCAUUCCUCCCUGGUGUUUUUUGUUUUUUUGUUUUGUUUUGUUUUUGUUUUGUUUUUUGUUUUUAAAUAGAUACACUCUUUGAAGUUACUUUAAGGAUUGCAGAAUAAAUCUAGAAAAUGAAGUGGAAAGAUAAACCAGUGUGCCAAGAAGAUAACGGCCGCACAUGGUGUGCAUAGACUGCUUUAGUUGGGAGGCCCUGAGGCUCUUUAAUCAGCCCUUCGUCCCCCUCAGCCCCUUCCCCAAGCUCUCGGGCCCAGCCUGGCCUGCUUUCCUCUGGAUGGCAGUUUUCUUCAUGCUGCUGCAUUGUACUGAGAGCCCGUGUUCUGAUAUAUGAAACCAGGCCAGGGCCUUGGAGAACAGCCUGUGUGCGUGCCUUUUCACACUUCCUGACCACACCCGUGCUCGGGCCUCUCAUUCAGGAAUUCAUCUGGAAUGGCCUACUUGUGGAAGACUUAGCAAGGGUACAAGCUGUGUGCUAGAGUCAGAUUUGUAGGACUGUCCCAAGUGUCACCCAUAGCGGGGCCACCUCAGACUCCAGUGCAGGACUGGGCCAGCUCCUCGUACGACCUGGCAGUUCUUUACUGGAGGAGGAGGCUCUUCAGAGUGAUGGGCUUCAGGAGGAGCUGGGCUGGGGACACUUGUGCUGCCAGGAAAUUCAGGAACUCCUCUGGACCCUCGAGUUUUCAGUGUUGUAGAAUUAGAAUGAACUUGAGAGCAGUGGACCACCCUGUGUGAGGAGGGGCACUCGACAGGCAGCUCGUAUAGACAGAAGGCUUCUAUGGACUGCUUCCUCCUGUUGCCCCUAAAAGCCAUUGAGGGCUGUCAGCUACACCAUGAGCAGCCGAGGACAGCCACCCAGCUGGUUAGACAUCGUAGUGACGACCUUAAAGGGCCCAAGACCUCUCUGUGUAACACCACCAGGAACUGCUUCUGAAAACUUAUGGAGAGGAGGAAGCAGGCAAGAACUGCAUAAUCUAUCUCGAGAUUUCCCACUGAAAUUACAAAGAACAUUGAGAGGUCUUUAUAGUAUUGUUGGUUCCUAAAUCUAUCAGCAUAGAAUUAAAUACCAAAAAAGUCCCUCAGAGCUGUAGUGAGUUGCAGCAAGACCAACCAAAGAUAUUAAUCUCACCCAGUCCCACUCUGUAUUCCCACGGCUCCCUUCCUGGUUGGCUUGCUGAGAAGGUGACAUAUACCCUUCUUGAAUUUGCCAGACUGUUCUACUCAAGCUGCUGCUCUGGCUGAAGUUCCUGCCUUCCAUCUCCCCUUUCUACCUUCUCUUCUGACCCCAGCCCCAUCCUUACUAGACAAUCACAUCUUCUAUUUAGUGGCUGGAGAGUGUGGGUUCUCUGGUCCCCAUAGCUGCCAUCUUCAGCGGGGCUCUCUAUCUGGUGUCCUCUCACUGUGUGGUCUUACACCUGUUUGUUUAUAGGGACUGGUCUAGAUCUUGACAGAAGCCUGGCUCCUUAUAGGACUCUCAUUUCAGCUGGAAGAGCCACCCGGAAACUAGGUCCCUCUACAUAUAGCUCAUUAUCACCCUUCAUUAGAUCCUGACUGCUGGUAGCUGGGAUAGACUUGGAUAAAUAUUUAUCUGUCAUCUUUAUAAAUCUGGAUACCACUGCUGAAAGUCAAUAUCUCCAUUUACGGAGAAAAUAAGGGUGUCUUACUCAAGGCAGCAACAUUUUCCCGGCCCUCCCAUCCCUCCCUUAGGCCUCGGUGGUCUUUAGUCCAGACUCAGAGCCUGGUCUGUGGUGAUAUUUUGAGAGUGUCAGGCAAGUGCUUUUGAGCAUGGAGCAGUUUAUGUUUGUUGAGCACUUAACUCUGUGCCAGGUACCAGUGAAAUGUUUUCCAUUGGGCAGUUCACUGAAUCCACAACUCACCCGAAACGCUUCCAGAGCUGCUCAGCACAGGUAACUCAGCUCCCCACAGGGCGGCUCCUCCACAGGCUCUGCUGGGUCGGAAUUCUCAGCAGGUAAAGAGCACUGGCGCCCAGGACCGUUAGUCCACUCUGUACCUCCUUGUUCCAGGCCGCCCCUGGGCAGGCACCUCAGGAUGACUAGUGUACGCCCAGACUUUGCUAGUGAAGCCCCAGCCUGGCGGGACAGGCUCCAGGGCAGUCCCGGGAAACUACCAGUGUGUGCCCGGGAUCUGUCUGGGCUGCAGACUGCAGGAUGACAGACAGGCACGAGGCCAAGGGUAAGGGAAGUCCAGAGCAUGUGUGGGAAAGGGUGUGGCCAAGGAGGGGCUGGUCCUUGGGUGACCUGUGCUGGGGUUUCAGGAGGACCUGGCCAGUGCCGGCAGACACGGAACAAGCACAUUGCUGGGGAGCGACCGUGCAGCCAAGAGCUGCAGGAGGAGCUGCAUAGGCCACAGAGCUGGAAGGCUUGCCCAAACCGGGGUGUAAGGUUGUGUUGCUCGGGGUUCUGGGAAGGGAGAGGACAGUAGGAGACUUCUGGACCAAUGCCCAUUUGGCCCCUCAAAGAAGGGGGUGUAGAACGGAGUUCUGGGUGUGUGUAGAGCUUGUGCAAAUUCUCAGACAGUGUCCCCAGAAGCUGCGGCCCUGCUUGGGGUCCCUCCUUUUGCAGCAGUCUGCUCCUUCUGUUACCCCUAGAAACACUCUUGCUGUGGAGGGCAACCUGAAGUUCCGUGUGCCUUGCUGUGGGGAGGCUGCACCAUCUGCGAGGCCACAUCUAAGCCCUGGACAGCGUGGAGCAGCGUGUUUUGCGAUUGCUCGCUCUUGUUUAGAUGUCUUCCCAGGUUUCCCUGGCUCCCCACUGCCGUGCCGCCUGUGUGAGCUCAUGUCAAAGCGCCGCCCCCACAGCAUGCACAGCUCGCUGCUGUGCCUAGUUUCCCUCUAGAAGUCCAUCUGGGAAGUGGUGCCAAGCGGGAGCUUUUGAAACCAGCUCCCUCUUUACAUUUUAGUCUCUAAGUCAUUUCAUUUCGGCAGACAUCUGAUUCUUCACCCUUCCUGGGCUGAAUUAAGAACAAAUGGCUGUGGCCUUCCAUACUAAAACAAACAUGCACAUUAACCAUCUCCUUGUAAACUGAUUGAGAGACCUUGAAGGUGACCAGUUGGGGGUGCAGAGGGCCCCCAAGGCUGGGCUGCACAGGCUUCCUGAGGCCACCUCCCUGUCCUCCUCUUCCUCCUCAGAGUUCUGUAGCCUCAGCAGCUGGCUCUGGUUCUCCCGGGGCCACGGGCCCCCUGCUGGGGUCAGAUGAAAGUCCCAGAGCCCAUCCUAAGGCAGAGUUAGCAGCAAGGCUGCCUGUGGCUGCCUGGGGUGCUGCGUUCUGUCAAGGCGGGUCUGGCAGGACUGAGGUUAAUGGAGUUCAAGUGCAUUUUUCAAACAUAUGUAAACUGUUAAGUGUAACAGAAAAGGAGAAACUGCAGGGAGGAGGCACCAGGGUUUCUGUGCCUUUCUCUUGCUUUUGAUUCCCAUGCACACCUAUUCAUCUGGUUCCUUAGAUGGAAGGAACCCUGGUGUUCAAGGCUGUGCUGCCGCUGUCUCGUCCCCCUACCCCCAAUAAGGGCAUUGUAGUAAGCAGUAGCUUGCAUUUACUAGGCAUUUUACUUAGUAACUCAGCCUUUACAAACAGUUUGACAGAAUGGGAAACCGAGGCUUGGCGUUGUCUCGGCCACAGCAAAUAUCAGGAGCUAAGGUUCAAACCUCCGGGCCCAGGGCCUCCCGUGGUGCGUUUGCCCUCAUGGCUGCCACCCUUUGCCUUAGUCCAGCUGGAGGUGCUGGAAGCUCACGGGUGCAAAGGCAAAGGAGGGCUUCCUGGGGGAGGAUCUACUGGAGCACGGAGAUCGGCAGUGGGUAACAGCGAGGUGAGGCUAGCCAACAAUACAUGUGUCGCUCUUCCGUUAGCGUGCGUGUCAAAUAUCUUUACUCUGACUUUACUCUCCUUGUCCAAUGGAAUGGAUUUUAGAGACUCCCAAGUUAGGCUGUGCAUCUGUCUCGUUGGUAGUCUUUGUGGGACUGGGCUAGACGCCGCCUGGAUCACGGAGCCAAGAGAGCAGGGAUUGGCUUGGGCGGCCUUGCAGGAAGCAGAAGAGUGGCUUGCCCCUGAAGACUGUCUAGUGCCUGCACAGCCUUUACUCCACAGAAUGCCCCAAGCCCAGGGCAGGGCAGGAGUGGGCUCUGGGACAGGCCAGCAGCAGGGAGCCUCACCGUGGCAGAGCUCCAGCAAGGGAUAGCUCUGCAGGCUACAGUCUCCACAUCCUCCCUGCCCCAAGACAAGAUGCUUCAGACAGUUCUGGAAAAGCCCAAGAUUCUUUCCUAUCGCGAGGCUGUGUUUGGAGUUUGGCUCGACCUCACCGCAUCACCUGUUAACUGUUAGAGUCUAAUUCUGCAAGCCAUGACUUCAUCUCCCUAAAGGAAGGUGGACGGAAUGCUCCCAUGCAGCACAGUUGCUUCAGUUCAAGAUGCUGCAUUGUGGGGAGGGGGAAGGGCCAGGUUCUAAACCUUGGCCAGCCGGCAAAGGCAACAAGGCCGUGGGAGCCUCGUCACGUCGCUCUAAAGCCAUCAAGUUUCAAUAAGGCUGGGACCUCUGGGCCCUGAGGAGACAUGGCCACCUGGCCAGUCCUGGCCACCACAGGCCAGGAGCCAGUUGCUCAUGAGAAGGGUGGAAUGCUUGUGUGUCUUACAAGUCGGAUCUUAAAAUAACACUAAAAGAAUAGCUACCAAGCUACCCGGCGGUGCGCCUCACACAGUGUUUCUGCCUGGGGAACUUUUACCAUAUUUAGAAUCCUCUCUGGAGCUGACCUCAUGCACUCUGGGCCCCAAAUGAGGCCAGUGUUGGUCAUUAGCUUGUCUCUGGCCAGGAAGAAGAUUCCUCUGGUGGAGGGCUGGUGAGGGCUCUGUCUCUUCCCUCCCGAGCUCCCAGCCCGGGUUCUUCUUCACAGGUUUCACUUUGUUGUUGUUGUUUUUGAUUGUAGUCUCCAGGGAUAGCUCCUAAAUAGCCCUCCUAGGAGUGUUCAGGGGCCAUGCCCUGGAAAUCAUGGAGAAGGCUUUGUGUUUGUAAAUUGGGUGUCUUUGUGGGUGAUUGUGUUUCUCAGAAUUGUAUUACCCUUCAACUAGCCGGAGGUAAAGCAUCAGAGUUCA